rnacentral:lncRNA from 1 species
UGGGAGUGUACGUGUGAGUUUGACCAUAUACAUGAAGCAAGUCAUUAACGCGUGUUAGGUGUUGCAUUACGACUUAAGCUGGCAUAAUUAAAAGAACAAACCGUAUAUGUAUAUAUGUUUGUCGAAGACAGAAGAUAAUGGUUUCUUAAAUGAUGUCACGUAUCGUGACCUCACACUUAACUUAUAUUACUAGCUAAUUAAGGGUUGAGUUCUGGAAAUUAGUCGUCUUAGUAGCUAGUAAUAU